rnacentral:rRNA from 1 species
CCCUUAGACGUUCUGGGCCGCACGCGCGCUACACUGACCAGUGCAACAAGCAUCCGUCCUUGGCCGACAGGCCCGGGCAAUCUUUGAACGCUGGUCGUGAUGGGGAUAGACUUUUGCAAUUUUUGGUCUUCAACGAGGAAUUCCUAGUAAACGCAAGUCAUCAACUUGCAUUGAUUACGUCCCUGCCCUUUGUACACACCGCCCGUCGCACCUACCGAUUGAAUGGUCCGGUGAAGCCUCCGGAUUGGCGCGCACCUCGGUGCCGCCGAGAAGUUGGCUAAACCUUACCAUUUAGAGGAAGGUGAAGUCGUAUCA